rnacentral:ribozyme from 1 species
UUUAUUCUCUGCGCUGCAAUGGGAUAGGAUUCAAUGGAACUUUGAGGGAUAUUCUAGGCUCCCCAAUUCGACUCCUAUCCGGGCGUCCCUGUUCGUGCACAGUGGGAACAUGUGUCACCAAAUAUCCAAGAUUGGAUCUCCCGGGACAUCCCAGGAAUCACAACCCUGCUAGUGACCCUGCCCCAUGUAUCAACAGACUACGGAAGGUAUCAGGAACAUUCGAAAAGG